rnacentral:tRNA from 1 species
CACUAAGAAGCUAACACGGACAGCACUAGCCUUUUAAGCUAGCACGGGUGGCCACCAAUCACCCUUAGUGA